GGUCCCAAGAAGCACCUGAAGUGAGCAGCAGCCCCAAAGCAUUGGAUGCUGGAUGAAUUAACCGGUAUGUUUGCUCCUUGUACAUCCACUGGUCCCUACAAGCUGAGAGUCUCUCCUCAUCAUUUUCCUAAGGAACUGACUUAAGUAUACCCUGACAGGAGAUGAAGAAAAGAAGAUCUGCAUGCAGCGGUUCAUUAAGAUUAAUGGCAAGGUCUGAACUGAUAUAACCUACCCUUCUGGUUUCAUGAAUGUCAUCAGCAUUGACAAGACCAGAGAGCAUUUCCAUCUAAUCUAUGACACUAAGGGUCACUUCGCUGUUCAUCCUAUUACACCCCAGAAGACAAAGUACAAGUUGUGCAAAGUGAGAAAAACCUUUGUGAGCACAAAAGGAAUCCCUCAUCUGGUGACUCAUGACGCUUUCACCGUCUGCUACCCUGAUUCCCUCAUCAAGGUGAAUGACCCCAUUUAGACUGACUUGUAGACUGGCAAGAUUACUGAUUUCCUCAAGUUUGACACUGGUAGCGUACGUAUGGUUACUGGAGGUGCUAAUCUGAGACAAACUGGUGUGAUCACCAACAGAGAAAAGACAUCUUGGAUCUUUUGAUGUGGUUCAUGUGAAAGAUGCCAAUGGCAACAGCUUUAUCACCAGGCUCUCCAACAUUUUUGACAUUGGCAAGGGCAGCCACUGCUGAAGACAGAGACAAGAGACUGGCAGCCAAAUCAGUGGGUAA
rnacentral:lncRNA from 1 species